CAGCCGCCGCGGUAAAACGUAGGUGGCAAGCGUUGUCCGGAAUUAUUGGGCGUAAAGCGCGCGCAGGCGGAUAGGUCAGUCUGUCUUAAAAGUUCGGGGCUUAACCCCGUGAUGGGAUGGAAACUGCCAAUCUAGAGUAUCGGAGAGGAAAGUGGAAUUCCUAGUGUAGCGGUGAAAUGCGUAGAUAUUAGGAAGAACACCAGUGGCGAAGGCGACUUUCUGGACGAAAGCUGACGCUGAGGCGCGAAAGCCAGGGGAGCGAACGGGAUUAGAUACCCGCGUAGUCCCUGUCUCUUAUACA
rnacentral:rRNA from 1 species